rnacentral:rRNA from 1 species
UACGGGGGGGGCAAGCGUUGUUCGGAAUUACUGGGCGUAAAGGGCUCGUAGGCGGCCAACUAAGUCAGACGUGAAAUCCCUCGGCUUAACCGGGGAACUGCAUCUGAUACUGGAUGGCUUGAGUUCGGGAGAGGGAUGCGGAAUUCCAGGUGUAGCGGUGAAAUGCGCAGAUAUCAGGAGGAACACCGGUGGCGAAGGCGGGUCUCUGGGCCGUAACUGACGCUGAGGAGCGAAAGCAUGGGGAGCGAACAGG